rnacentral:rRNA from 1 species
CCAAGGAGUCUAGCAUGUGCGCGAGUCAUUGGGACUCUAACGAAACCUAAAGGCGCAAUGAAAGUGAAGGUUCGCCUAGCGCGAACCGAGGGAGGAUGGACGGUCGUUCGUGGCCGUCCCGCACUCCCUGGGCGUCUCGUUCUCAUCGCGAGAAGAGGCGCACCAAGAGCGUACACGCUGGGACCCGAAAGAUGGUGAACUAUGCCUGGUCAGGACGAAGUCAGGGGAAACCCUGAUGGAGGUCCGUAGCGAUUCUGACGUGCAAAUCGAUCGUCGGAACUGGGUAUAGGGGCGAAAGACUAAUCGAACCAUCUAGUAGCUGGUUCCCUCCGAAGUUUCCCUCAGGAUAGCUGGCGCUCGCUUCUGGCGAGUCUCAUUCGGUAAAGCGAAUGAUUAGAGGCAUUGGGGUCGAAACGGCCUCAACCUAUUCUCAAACUUUAAAUGGGUGAGAUCUCCGGCUUGCUUGAACUGUGAAGCCGCGAGAUAUCGGAUCAGAGUGCCAAGUGGGCCACUUUUGGUAAGCAGAACUGGCGCUGUGGGAUGAACCAAACGCCGAGUUAAAGCGCCUAAAUCGACGCUUAUGGGAUACCAUGAAAGGCGUUGGUAACUUAAGACAGCAGGACGGUGGCCAUGGAAGUCGGAAUCCGCCAAGGAGUGUGUAACAACUCACCUGCCGAAGUUACUAGCCCUGAAAAUGGAUGGCGCUGAAGCGUCGUGCUUAUACUCUGCCGUCAGCGGCAUGUGAGACGGGGCCCCCCUUUAAUAGAGGGUGGGGCUCGUCAUGAAGCCCUGACGAGUAGGAGGGUCGCGGCGGUGAGCGCAGAAGGACCAGGCGCGAGCCAGUCUGGAGCCGCCGUCGGUGCAGAUCUUGGUGGUAGUAGCAAAUACUCCAGCGAGGCCCUGGAGGACUGACGUGGAGAAGGGUUUCGUGUGAACAGCCGUUGCACACGAGUCAGUCGAUCCUAAGCCAUAGGCGAAAGCCGAUGUCGAUGCGGUGUAUCUUUCAGUGUCUGAGGUUAUAUAUAUAUAUAUGUAUGUACGUAUAUCCUUUUAUAGAACGGAGAGACUCACACCCGUCGGGCGAAAGGGAAUCCGGUUCCUAUUCCGGAACCCGGCAGCGGAACCGUUAUUAAGUCGUGCCCUCAUUCAGAGAGUUCGUCGGGGCAACCCAAAAGGACCUGGAGACGCCGUCGGGAGAUCCGGGAAGAGUUUUCUUUUCUGCAUAAGCGCUCGAGUUCCAUGGAAUCCUCUAGCAGGGAGAUAUGGUUUGGAGCGCGAAGAGCACCGCAGUUGCGGCGGUGUCCGGAUCUUCCCCUCGGACCUUGAAAAUCCAGGAGAGGGCCACGUGGAGGCGUCGCGCCGGUUCGUACCCAUAUCCGCAGCAGG